UCGUUAGCUCAGUCGGUAGAGCAGUUGACUUUUAAUCAAUGGGUCGCAGGUUCGAGCCGAGCGAAGCGAGACA
rnacentral:tRNA from 4 species